ACGCUCGACACCUACGGGAGACAGCAGUGGGGGAUAUUGCACAAUGGGGGAAACCCUGAUGCAGCAACGCCGCGUGAAGGAAGAAGGUCUUCGGAUUGUAAACUUCUGUCCUCAGGGAAGAUAAUGACGGUACCUGAGGAGGAAGCUCCGGCUAACUACGUGCCAGCAGCCGCGGUAAUCUGAGCGGGCUGGCAAGGC
rnacentral:rRNA from 1 species